GCGCGAAAACUUUACAAUGCGGGAAACCGCGAUAAGGGGAUACUGAGUGCCAGCAUAUUAUGUUGGCUGUCCAUCUGUAUAAAUAGCAGGUGUUAGCAAGGGCCGGGCAAGACCGGUGCCAGCCGCCGCGGUAACACCGGCGGCCCGAGUGGUGGCCACUAUUAUUGGGUCUAAAGGGUCCGUAGCCGGUUUGAUCAGUCUUCCGGGAAAUCUGACAGCUCAACUGUUAGGCUUCUGGGGGAUACUGUCAGACUUGGGACCGGGAGAGGUAAGAGGUACUACAGGGGUAGGAGUGAAAUCUUGUAAUCCUUGUGGGACCACCAGUGGCGAAGGCGUCUUACCAGAACGGGUCCGACGGUGAGGGACGAAAGCUGGGGGCACGAACCGGAUUAGAUACCCGGGUAGUCCCAGCCGUAAACGAUGCUCGCUAGGUGUCUGGGACGGUGCGACCGUUUCAGGUGCCGCAGGGAAGCCGUGAAGCGAGCCACCUGGGAAGUACGGCCGCAAGGCUGAAACU
rnacentral:rRNA from 1 species